rnacentral:rRNA from 1 species
GAAGAACGCUGGCGGCGUGCCUAAUACAUGCAAGUAGGACGCAGUUGCGAACGGGUGAGUAACGCGUAGGUAACUACCUAUUAGAGGGGGAUAACUAUUGGAAACGAUAGCUAAUACCGCAUACUAGUAGAUGGACCUGCGUUGUAUUAGCUAGUAGGUAGGGUAAUGGCCUACCUAGGCAACGAUACAUAGCCGACCUGAGAGGGUGAUCUGCCACACUGGGACUGAGACACGGCCCAGACUCCUACGGGAGGCAGCAGUGUGGGAUCUGCGUCAAUGGGGGGAAGCCUGACCGAGCCACGCGGCGUGAGUGUAGAAGGUUUGCGGAUCGUAAAGCUCUGUUAUUAGGUGAGCGGUACCUAAUCAUAAAGCGACGGCUAAGUUCGUGGCAGCAGCCGCGGUAAUAC